CACUGCAAAUUAUUUGAAUCUUAUCAAGAUAAAAAAAACUUAGAUUUAGAAGUGUUAGAUAAUUGAUCUUGUUUUAAGAGUGAAUUUCUUAUUUUUAGUGUUUAACUUUACACUAAAAUCUUAAAUCAAGCACAACCUUAUCUUUUUUGUCUCAAAUAGGCAUGACAUCUUAAAAUUAGUCAGAUAACUGUUAAAUUAAGAUCUUUUACAUCUCUCCCUCAAAUUCUCAUCAAUAAAGCUUGUUUUAAGAUUCAGUAAACUCAAGUUGCUUGAUUCAAGAGUCACACAAAAAGCAUCUGAAAGAAACAGAGUUUAUUAUUGCUCUGACUUCAAGCAUGUUCAGACAAUGUGAGGAUAAAUUAUACAGCCUUCACCACAACUCACCAUACAGUCCAUGGAAUUGUUUAAUGACCAAAACAGUUUGUUAACAAAAACAGGCCCAGGAAACCGGCAAACUUGAUCACCCAAUAAAUCAAUGCUUCCCUUUCAUUCCUCCAUUUUAAUGUCUACUUCUGUGGGCAAUAAUAUCACAAAGACUAUAUUUUAUUGGCACAAACAUAUGUCCCUUGAAACUAACAGAAAAAUAAGAAAUACAGUCAAUGAGUUCAUGUACAAAUUCUGUAGCCUGGGCAACAUUGGGAACUGCCACCUCAUAUGCCAGCAAUUCUGGACUCAAAUUCAGUGUCUCAUAACGCUGGUACUCAAAAGCAACAUAAGAGGAAUCAAUCACAAAUAUAUCUUUUAUCAGUCCGAACACUGGGAAAGCAUCAUCUACAUCUACAAUAAUCAUAGAUUUACCACUAAUGUACUUAUUGCCAUUGAGGAUGUACCAUUUCACUGAGACAACAGAUUGCAUGACCUCUACGCCUAGAAAAUCUUUGACUUUUCUCUUGACAUAAUCAAAAUUUUUGACAGCUGAGACAGGCCCCGAUUCUCUUUCACUAGCAAAAAUUGGAUGCUCAAUGCCUAUUUCAUUUUGACAACAUUCAAGGAACUGGUUAUGGUUUGCAAGCGAUUUACAGACAUUUUUGAAAUUUAACUUAGAAGCCCACUGCUUAAAAUAACUGUGCUUAGCUUCAAAUCGCAUACACAUACUUCUUAUUAAUGGACCAAGAGAUAUGAUUUGGCUUGGUAGAUGUAACAUGUAAUGUUGCUUGGGUAUUACAUUGGCUUCAGAGAAAAGUUCUUUGAAAUGAUGCAGAUGUUGCUCAAUCAUGCGUCUGAGCCGUAACACGGUUUCUAAAGAAAUAACAGGAGCAAGGACAAUUUGAACAAUCUCAAUUAACUUGAGAAUAAAUUUGACAUACUCGUUGUCCAUACCGUUCAAAAGAAAAGGUAGGAUUUUUAAAAGUAUCAACAUUUGUCCACAUGACUGCUUUAAUUUAUUGUCAUUAGCAGCUAAAGUACUGACACUAAUAGGACAUGGCUUAUCUCUUAUGUCUAGAGGUGAGUAAGGAAAAUUUAGAAUAGCUGAGUUAAUCUCAUCUAAUUCUAUCUGUCCUGACAGAAUCAGGUUUUUUAAUACAAGCUUUAUUUCCAUUGGUGCAACACCUUCAAAAAUGACAUGCAUUAUAUCCUGUGGUGUUUGUUUGAUCAGAUCAAAUGCUGGAACAUCAACUAGUCUGCUUCUUCUGUUAAUCCCAUAAGUGGUUUUGAGGGAUGCUUUCAAUGUUUCUGUGCUUGCCUUAUCUAUUUCAACACACUGCCUAAUGUGCUUUUCCAAAGUUCUUUCAGCAAACCUAUUCUCCUCAAAAAUACUUUGCAUAUCCUCAAAGGAGCAUUCACAAUGUCUACAUUUGCUAUAAGCAAAACCAACACCUUGUUUAAAUCCAGCAAUAUCAUGUUGGGCAAGUGUGUCUCCACAUAUGGCGAUCACAGCACCAAACAACUCAAUUUCACCAUUUGGGGUGUCAAUCCUAACACCAUUGUACAGAAGUGUCAGAUCUUUUUGGAUUCUUUUUAGUAUAACAUCAACACCCCACUGAGAAAUAUUGUUUGCCUUGGCAAUAGCCAGGAGUCUUAUUGCAGCCAACUUCGACCUAAAUUUUGGAUCUAUAUUCCCUAAACUAUAAUAAAACAUCAGUAAUUUAUUUGCAGAGGCAUGGGUGCCUAAAGGGUUACAUAUUUCAAUUUCAUCGGUGUACAAUAGUAUUUGCAAUGCAUUUGGCCUUUGAGAAUAUAAUGGAUGGGAUGUAAAAAGGGCUCCAUCAGUAAAAUCAUACAAGAAUCCCUCACUUCUUUGUGGUACAGUGGUUAACAUGGUGAAGAUUCUGGGAUUGGUCAGUAACUGCUUAAGACUUUGAAUGAGUGGUACAUAGUAAAAACUUUUGCCUCUUAAGGCCAUGACCCUUGAUAGACCACGCUUUACCCAACAAAUCUUCUGGGACACCACAACUUCCUCUGGGUUGACUGGAUUGAAUAGUUCCCGGAUGGUUUUAUUCUGUCCAUAUGCUGUGGUUGAGAAAGGAUCCAUGAACGCAUCAAACGUAGCCAAAGCCUCCCCUUGGAGCUGAGCAGUUGUGUCUGGAUUCUCUUCAAACACCCUUCUGAUUCUCUCCCUUAGUGUGUCAAUGAGAGCAGCUUGGUACUGUUGCACCCCUGAGAUGACACUGUUGACAGUUCUCUGGGAAAAUAUUUAAAAUGUAAAUAAUUUUGUCACCCAUAUAAUUCACAAGCCCAUAUUUUACAUUAGAAUAAUUUAAAUUAAUAGUACCAUUAAAGCAUUUGCCCAUGAAGAUAAAUUUACCUGUGAUAACUGGCACUGUUCCCGGACACUGAUGGCGAAUGCCGCUGCGGAUCUAGCUAUAUCAGGUCUGGUUCUGGAGGUCACAGCAACAGCGUCUUCCUUUAUAAAAUGAGUUGUAAUUUUUUAAGAGCGAGUAGAUGGACACAGUCAAAGUUGCAAUUGAUUUGAAAGGAAAUGGACAUUUUUGAGGAGAUGCCCGAGAGGGGAAAGACUUCAUUUUAAUCCCGUAUUCGCUUCACUGGUCUGGAACCUGAGCAGCUCUAUCGUCUAAGGCGGCCGUCAGCUUCAGGCUGUGGUGACGGUUCAGGUAAAGAGGCAUCAGGUGGGACAGCCGUAGUGCUGGCCGCUGCAGGAGUGCUACAGCUGGCAAACACCGAAACACCAAAUGUUUCCUGUCCCAAAGACCGAGAAGGCGUCGUACUCCAUCCGCUUGGUGGGCAUCCAGUCCUCAAAUACUGAAGUUCAUGUCCUCCAACGGUCCCACCUCAAUGACGUCAGUGUUCGCGGUUCACCGCUUGAGUAACUGAAAGAUUUGGGUGCGUUACAUUUGACGAAGAAGUGCAAGAAGAGCGGCUCAAUGGAGCUGAUGAAUCUAAGAUGGAUACUUUUGACGAUGCCACUCUAUCGGUGUUGGAGGCUGCCAGUGUUGAUGAGGAGGCUUUGAAAGGCCUUAGCCGGGAUGACCUGAGGGAUCUUUUUCCUGGCCCAGAGAAUUUCCUCAAAAGAAAGAAACUUUGGAAUUUCAUCAGUGAAAAUUGUGAAAAUACCACGGACCAAGAUGCCAACAAUUGUGCCAUGCCACCAUGCCAGCCUCAAACCUCAACCCCCAUAUCUGCUGAGAAAAAAAUGAAAAUGCCAGACCCUCCAGAGUAUGUGGUGUACACAGAUUCAGAGUUAGACAUGGUGCGUAGUCAAUACUUUGCACUGCUCUGCAAUGGAAAGGAAAAAAAUUACAAACUGUCCAAGGAGCUAUGUUGCAGACUUGUAAGGAACACAAUAACCAGUAUGGUUGCUAUCCUGCGUGCUAGUCCCAUGGGGAAAGAAGUCAGUUACCCGUCAAAAUUGGAAAUAAGAGCCAUGUCACAGAAGAUUAUAGACUAUUACCCAAUGUUACGGGAUGAUGAUCCAAACAUGCCUUAUCUGACUAUCUACACCAAAAUGUACAAGCGACUCCAAAAUAUGAGAUCCCCACGGAAGAGGCAAGGCUCUGUACCACAAAGAGGAGCGGCAAAGACAGCUCUCUUCAGUGCAGACAACCAAGACAUGGAGACGGAUUGGACAGACACAAGCAACUCAAGUGAUAAUACCUUACUUCUUGAGAGCAAUGAUGACCUUACCGAGGACAACUCCAGUGAAGCAUUCCCAGCACAUCGACCCCCCUCUGUGCCAAGGAAGCCAAAGACCAAAACCUUCCUGCUGCCAUCCGCAUCAGCCUCAGGCUCCUCACUCAGGACUGUGAUCGCUUCACCAACCACGCCUGCAAAGGAUGAUGUUGGUAAGCCCACCUCAGCACACCUCUCAGCCUGUUAUCCAUGAUAAUGACUUUCAGAGUGGCAAAUCAGAGUCUAAACGGUUGGAGAUUAAAUUCAAAUUUCCUUAGUUUGUGGAUGUUAAUGGAAACUCUUUUUCCAGACAACUCCCAUUGUUCAUAUAAACAACAUAAAAUUAUUGUAUUUUUGUAUUACUAAUUAUUGUAUUAUUGUAUCAAUUAAGUUAAUUGAUUUGAGUGUUACAAGGGAAGUAGACCGACC
ensembl:lncRNA